UAAGAAUUAGUUAAAUUUAAAUAACAUUAAAUUGUCAAUUUAAAAUUAUUUUAAAAUAAAAAAUAUUCUUAA
rnacentral:tRNA from 1 species